rnacentral:lncRNA from 1 species
GUCUAAGUCAGGGUACUAGGUGGUUUCUAAAGACUCUCCUAGCAACAAAACUUAUAAAUAAGUGUCGUCUUCAUCUCAUUCCUUUGGCUUUCCCGUCUGUCCAGAGGGACCAGAGGAAGACAGCUUCAUAAAGAGAGGCAUCCCAGCCUAGAUGCUUCCAGUUUAGAGUAUGGAUCUGGGCUCUUCACAUGGAGAGAAAAGACUGGCGCUGAGAAGGAUCCUCAGAGGACAGGUUGGCAUAUUUCAGAGACAAACCAUCUGAAGAAACCAAAGAGCCUGGCUCUUUAUUAGUCUUGCAAGGGGAGCAUGCAGGACAACAGCAGCAUGAGAUGCUGAGUGGUAGGAAGCAUCAAAGGAUUUGACUGGGAGGACAGUCAUGGUUCCGUUACAGGUGCAUACAUGCCCGCAGAGCAGCCAUGCAACCCUUAGAGGAAACAGCAGUCCAAGGAGGCGAAGCCAGGCUGAUUGCAUCUCCACAGGUGCUGGCACCAAGAAAAUGCAUACACCCUGUGGGCAGCUCACUUUGAAGAGAGAGAGGAGAAGAAAGGGCUGGGCUGCCCCUACUCAAGCUCUUCUUCCAAAAGCAGUACUCAGAUGGGUCACUCCAUAAUUCCCAGGGUCCAGUCAGGGAGCGGUGGGGAGAGGCUGGAGUGGCCUACUAAGGGAGAGCCCUGUUAACAGAGCCUCCUACACAAGGAAGAAUCACUAGGAGAGGGGAAGGAACGUGCGAGGCCCCUGCCAACUCCUCUUCCAUACUCGUUCGUUUGCGCAUUCAACACACUUUUGAGCACCUUCUUUUCCUCUGUGCUCUGUGACAGGAAUUCAAACAUGAAACUAGAUGUGGCCUUGGCUUUCAGAGAAGUCAUUCCCUUAGUAGUGAAUACUAGUUCCCUGAAGUUUAACAUUGGAGGAGAAGGAGUUAUUAAACACCCAUUCUAAGCAAGAACAUCAGUAGCCUACAAAGGGCCUUUUUUCACACUUUGAGUCUGUUGAAGAAAACUCACAGUUGGUAUCACUUGCUUUAAAAGUGCCCCCCACUCUGCCUUGUACGGUCCGGAUUGCUGUGAGGCCAUGACAAGGAACCAAGUUCUGUUUUUCUGUGAAGAGAAUGGAAUAAUCAUUUACCUCUUUCCUGUGGCUGCCAGCUGGUCCCUUCACUCAGUCACUCCCUGUUUCUCCUUCCUCCCUUUCCUCUCCCCUUCCAGUACACAGAAUCCCUUCUCCAUAUCCCCCCAUGAUGAAGGACCACCAGUCAUUGGCUCACCUCUCUUCCAAAAUUCCAAUGACUAGAGUCUUUCUCAGAGUAUGUAUAACUGAUGUCACAGACCCCUGAGUCUGGAAGAGUCUAAGUAAAAGUGGGUGUUGACCUGAAUGUAAGUUAGUUUUCUAUUG